AUAUACUAUUAAUAAAAAUAUAAAUUGGAACGAUACAGAGAAGAUUGGCUCCUGCGCAAGGAUGACACGCAAAAUCGUGAGGCGUUUCACAUUUUU